rnacentral:rRNA from 1 species
CCUACGGGCGGCAGCAGUGAGGAAUAUUGGUCAAUGGGAGAGAUCCUGAACCAGCCAAGCCGCGUGAGGGAAGAAGGCUUUCGGGUUGUAAACUUCUUUUCUCAGGGACGAAGCAAGUGACGGUACCUGAGGAAUAAGCCACGGCUAACUACGUGCCAGCAGCCGCGGUAAUACGUAGGUGGCAAGCGUUAUCCGGAUUUAUUGGGUUUAAAGGGUGCGUAGGCGGAAUAUCAAGUCAGCGGUAAAAAUUCGGGGCUCAACCCCGUCGUGCCGUUGAAACUGAUGUUCUUGAGUGGGCGAGAAGUAUGCGGAAUGCGUGGUGUAGCGGUGAAAUGCAUAGAUAUCACGCAGAACUCCGAUUGCGAAGGCAGCAUACCGGCGCCCAACUGACGCUGAAGCACGAAAGCGUGGGUAUCGAACAGGAUUAGAUACCCCUGUAGUC